rnacentral:rRNA from 1 species
AGAUUAAGUUAUUAAGGGCGCACGGUGGAUGCCUUGGCACUAGAAGCCGAUGAAGGACGUUACUAACGACGAUAUGCUUUGGGGAGCUGUAAGUAAGCUUUGAUCCAGAGAUUUCCGAAUGGGGAAACCCAGCAUGAGUUAUGUCAUGUUAUCGAUAUGUGAAUACAUAGCAUAUCAGAAGGCACACCCGGAGAACUGAAACAUCUUAGUACCCGGAGGAAGAGAAAGAAAAUUCGAUUCCCUUAGUAGCGGCGAGCGAAACGGGAAGAGCCCAAACCAAAAAGCUUGCUUGUUGGGGUUGUAGGACACUCUAUACGGAGUUACAAAGGACGACAUUAGACGAAUCAUCUGGAAAGAUGAAUCAAAGAAGGUAAUAAUCCUGUAGUCGAAAAUGUUGUCUCUCUUGAGUGGAUCCUGAGUACGACGGAGCACGUGAAAUUCCGUCGGAAUCUGGGAGGACCAUCUCCUAAGGCUAAAUACUCUCUAGUGACCGAUAGUGAACCAGUACCGUGAGGGAAAGGUGAAAAGCACCCCGGAAGGGGAGUGAAAUAGAACCUGAAACCGUGUGCUUACAAGUAGUCAGAGCCCGUUAAUGGGUGAUGGCGUGCCUUUUGUAGAAUGAACCGGCGAGUUACGAUUUGAUGCAAGGUUAAGCAGUAAAUGUGGAGCCGUAGCGAAAGCGAGUCUGAAUAGGGCGUUUAGUAUUUGGUCGUAGACCCGAAACCAGGUGAUCUACCCUUGGUCAGGUUGAAGUUCAGGUAACACUGAAUGGAGGACCGAACCGACUUACGUUGAAAAGUGAGCGGAUGAACUGAGGGUAGCGGAGAAAUUCCAAUCGAACCUGGAGAUAGCUGGUUCUCUCCGAAAUAGCUUUAGGGCUAGCCUCAAGUGAUGAUUAUUGGAGGUAGAGCACUGUUUGGACGAGGGGCCCCUCUCGGGUUACCGAAUUCAGACAAACUCCGAAUGCCAAUUAAUUUAACUUGGGAGUCAGAACAUGGGUGAUAAGGUCCGUGUUCGAAAGGGAAACAGCCCAGACCACCAGCUAAGGUCCCAAAAUAUAUGUUAAGUGGAAAAGGAUGUGGCGUUGCCCAGACAACUAGGAUGUUGGCUUAGAAGCAGCCAUCAUUUAAAGAGUGCGUAAUAGCUCACUAGUCGAGUGACACUGCGCCGAAAAUGUACCGGGGCUAAACAUAUUACCGAAGCUGUGGAUUGUCCUUUGGACAAUGGUAGGAGAGCGUUCUAAGGGCGUUGAAGCAUGAUCGUAAGGACAUGUGGAGCGCUUAGAAGUGAGAAUGCCGGUGUGAG